UACGGAGGGUGCAAGCGUUGCUCGGAAUUAUUGGGCGUAAAGAGCUCGUAGGCGGCUUGUCGCGUCGGAUGUGAAAGCCCGGGGCUUAACUCCGGGUCUGCAUUCGAUACGGGCAGGCUAGAGUUCGGUAGGGGAGAUCGGAAUUCCUGGUGUAGCGGUGAAAUGCGCAGAUAUCAGGAGGAACACCGGUGGCGAAGGCGGAUCUCUGGGCCGAUACUGACGCUGAGGAGCGAAAGCGUGGGGAGCGAACAGG
rnacentral:rRNA from 1 species